AUCUUCUGAGUAUGACUAUAGUACAGUUGCCUUCCAAGCAGAAAGAUUAAGAAAACUUAAAGAAGAUA
rnacentral:tRNA from 1 species